rnacentral:rRNA from 1 species
AACGCGAAGAACCUUACCAAAUCUUGACAUCCCAUGCAUAGCAUAGAAAUAUGUGAAGUCCUUCGGGACAUGGAGACAGGUGGUGCAUGGUUGUCGUCAGCUCGUGUCGUGAGAUGUUGGGUUAAGUCCCGCAACGAGCGCAACCCUUGUUGUUAGUUGCCAUCAUUAAGUUGGGCACUCUAACGAGACUGCCGGUGAUAAAUCGGAGGAAGGUGGGGACGACGUCAAAUCAUCAUGCCCCUUAUGAUUUGGGCUACACACGUACUACAAUGGCUGUUACAGAGGGAAGCAAUACCGCAAGGUGGAGCAAAUCCCAAAAGACAGUCCCAGUUCAGAUUGUGGGCUGCAACUCGCCCGCAUGAAGUUGGAAUUGCUAGUAAUUGCAGGUCAGCAUACUGCAGUGAAUACGUUCCCGGGUCUUGUACACACCG